AGCGAACGCUGGCGGUAGGCCUAACACAUGCAAGUCGAACGGCAGCACAGUAAGAGCUUGCUCUUACGGGUGGCGAGUGGCGGACGGGUGAGGAAUACAUCGGAAUCUACUUUUUCGUGGGGGAUAACGUAGGGAAACUUACGCUAAUACCGCAUACGACCUACGGGUGAAAGCAGGGGAUCUUCGGACCUUGCGCGAUUGAAUGAGCCGAUGUCUGAUUAGCUAGUUGGCGGGGUAAAGGCCCACCAAGGCGACGAUCCGUAGCUGGUCUGAGAGGAUGAUCAGCCGCACUGGAACUGAGACACGGUCCCGACUCCUACGGGAGGCAGCAGUGGGGAAUAUUGGACAAUGGGCGCAAGCCUGAUCCAGCCAUACCGCGUGGGUGAAGAAGGCCUUCGGGUUGUAAAGCCCUUUUGUUGGGAAAGAAAAGCAGCAGGUUAAUACCCCGCUGUUCUGACGGUACCCAAAGAAUAAGCACCGGCUAACUUCGUG
rnacentral:rRNA from 1 species